AUGCAGCAGCAACACCUGAUGCAGAUGAACCAGAGCAUGAUGGGGGGCUACGCUUCCUCUACCACUGUCACCACUGAUCUCAUUCAGCAGUACCUGGAUGAGAACAAGCAGCUGAUCCUGGCCAUCCUCGACAACCAGAACAACGGCAAGGUGGAGGAGUGCGCACGGAACCAAGCCAAGCUCCAGCAGAACCUCAUGUACCUCGCCGCCAUCGCCGACAGCCAGCCGCCGCAGACGGCGUCGCUGUCUCAGUACCCGUCCAACCUGAUGAUGCAGUCCGGGCCGCGGUACAUGCCGCAGCAGUCGGCGCAGAUGAUGUCGCCGCAGUCGCUGAUGGCGGCGCGGUCGUCGAUGAUGUACGCGCAGCAGGCCAUGUCGCCGCUCCAGCAGCAGCAGCAGCAGCAGCACCAGGCGGCCGCGCACGGCCAGCUGGGGAUGUCCUCCGGCGCGACCACCGGGUUCAACCUCCUCCACGGCGAGGCCAGCAUGGGCGGCGGCGGCGGCGGCGCCAGUGGCAACAGCAUGAUGAACGCCGGCGUCUUCUCGGACUACGGCCGCGGCGGCAGCGGCGCCAAGGAGGGGUCGACCUCGCUGUCGGCCGACGCUCGCGGCGCCAACUCUGGCGCGCACAGCGGCGACGGGGAGUACCUCAAGGGCACCGAGGAGGAAGGAAGCUAG
rnacentral:rRNA from 1 species